rnacentral:rRNA from 1 species
UGGGGAAUAUUGCGCAAUGGGCGAAAGCCUGACGCAGCGACGCCGCGUGUGGGAUGACGGCCUUCGGGUUGUAAACCACUGUCGGGAGGGACGAAUGCGCCGCAAGGCGAGUGACGGUACCUCCAAAGGAAGCACCGGCUAACUCCGUGCCAGCAGCCGCGGUAAUACGGAGGGUGCGAGCGUUGUCCGGAAUCACUGGGCGUAAAGGGCGCGUAGGCGGCCUGGUAAGUAGGGGGUGAAAUCCUGCGGCUUAACCGCAGGGCUGCCUUCUAAACUGUCAGGCUCGAGCACGGUAGAGGCAGAUGGAAUUCCCGGUGUAGCGGUGGAAUGCGUAGAGAUCGGGAAGACAUCAGUGGCGAAGGCGGUCUGCUGGGCCGUUGCUGACGCUGAGGCGCGACAGCGUGGGGAGCAAACAGGGAUUAGAUACCCUGGUAGUCCACGCCGUAAACGAU